rnacentral:rRNA from 1 species
CCCGGGGGACUUCCCCGGUAAUCCGGAGGGGGUUAGCGUUGUUCGGAAUUACUGGGCGUAAAGCGCGCGUAGGCGGACUGGAAAGUUGGGGGUGAAAUCCCAGGGCUCAACCCUGGAACUGCCUCCAAAACUAUCAGUCUAGAGUUCGAGAGAGGUGAGUGGAAUUCCGAGUGUAGAGGUGAAAUUCGUAGAUAUUCGGAGGAACACCAGUGGCGAAGGCGGCUCACUGGCUCGAUACUGACGCUGAGGUGCGAAAGUGUGGGGAGCAAACAGGAUUAGAUACCCUGGUAGUCCACACCGUAAACGAUGAAUGCCAGUCGUCGGGUAGCAUGCUAUUCGGUGACACACCUAACGGAUUAAGCAUUCCGCCUGGGGAGUACGGUCGCAAGAUUAAAACUCAAAGGAAUUGACGGGGGCCCGCACAAGCGGUGGA